AUUGAACGCUGGCGGCAUGCCUUACACAUGCAAGUCGAACGGCAGCAUGGAGAGCUUGCUCUCUGAUGGCGAGUGGCGAACGGGUGAGUAAUGCAUCGGAACGUACCGUGUAAUGGGGGAUAACGUAGCGAAAGUUACGCUAAUACAGCAUACGACCUGAGGGUGAAAGCAGGGGAUCGCAAGACCUUGCGUUAUACGAGCGGCCGAUGUCAGAUUGGCGAGUUGGUGAGGUAAAGGCUCACCAAGGCGAAGAUCUGUAGCGGGUCUGAGAGGAUGAUCCGCCACACUGGGACUGAGACACGGCCCAGACUCCUACGGGAGGCAGCAGUGGGGAAUUUUGGACAAUGGGGGCAACCCUGAUCCAGCCAUGCCGCGUGAGUGAAGAAGGCCUUCGGGUUGUAAAGCUCUUUCGGCCGGGAAGAAAUCGCACAGGCUAAUACUCUGUGUGGAUGACGGUACCGGCAUAAGAAGCACCGGCUAACUACGUGCCAGCAGCCGCAGUAA
rnacentral:rRNA from 1 species